CCUACGGGAGGCAGCAGUGAGGAAUAUUGGACAAUGGGCGCAAGCCUGAUCCAGCCAUGCCGCGUGCAGGAUGACGGUCCUAUGGAUUGUAAACUGCUUUUGUACAGGAAGAAACAGUUCUACGUGUAGAACCUUGACGGUACUGUAAGAAUAAGGAUCGGCUAACUCCGUGCCAGCAGCCGCGGUAAUACGGAGGAUCCAAGCGUUAUCCGGAAUCAUUGGGUUUAAAGGGUCCGUAGGCGGUUUAGUAAGUCAGUGGUGAAAGCCCAUCGCUCAACGGUGGAACGGCCAUUGAUACUGCUAAACUUGAAUUAUUAGGAAGUAACUAGAAUAUGUAGUGUAGCGGUGAAAUGCUUAGAGAUUACAUGGAAUACCAAUUGCGAAGGCAGGUUACUACUAAUGGAUUGACGCUGAUGGACGAAAGCGUGGGUAGCGAACAGGAUUAGAUACCCUGGUAGUCCACGCCGUAAACGAUGGAUACUAGCUGUUGGAAGCAAUUUCAGUGGCUAAGCGAAAGUGAUAAGUAUCCCCACCUGGGGAGUACGUUCGCAAGAAUGAAAACUCAAAAGGAAUUGACGG
rnacentral:rRNA from 1 species